rnacentral:rRNA from 1 species
UACGUAGGGUGCGAGUGUUAAUCGGAAUUACUGGGCGUAAAGCGUGCGCAGGCGGUCUGUUAAGACCGAUGUGAAAUCCCCGGGCUUAACCUGGGAACUGCAUUGGUGACUGGCAGGCUUUGAGUGUGGCAGAGGGAGGUAGAAUUCCACGUGUAGCAGUGAAAUGCGUAGAGAUGUGGAGGAAUACCGAUGGCGAAGGCAGCCUCCUGGGCCAACACUGACGCUCAUGCACGAAAGCGUGGGGAGCAAACAGG